rnacentral:miRNA from 1 species
GGUCAGCUGACACAUCCCGGCCAAUCUCCGGCAGACCCUCCCUCCCAGACCCUCAUCCUUCCUGGACAGCAUCCAUGUUGAAGGCAGCUUCAACAUGGAUGCUGUCCAGGAGAUGAGAGGGUCUGGGAGGGAGGGUCUGCCGGAGAUUGGCAGGGAUGUGUUAGCUAA